GGAGAGUUUGAUCCUGGCUCAGGAUGAACGCUGGCGGCGUGCCUAAUACAUGCAAGUCGAGCGAACGGACGAGAAGCUUGCUUCUCUGAUGUUAGCGGCGGACGGGUGAGUAACACGUGGAUAACCUACCUAUAAGACUGGGAUAACUUCGGGAAACCGGAGCUAAUACCGGAUAAUAUUUUGAACCGCAUGGUUCAAAAGUAAAAGACGGUCUUGCUGUCACUUAUAGAUGGAUCCGCGCUGCAUUAGCUAGUUGGUAAGGUAACGGCUUACCAAGGCAACGAUGCAUAGCCGACCUGAGAGGGUGAUCGGCCACACUGGAACUGAGACACGGUCCAGACUCCUACGGGAGGCAGCAGUAGGGAAUCUUCCGCAAUGGGCGAAAGCCUGACGGAGCAACGCCGCGUGAGUGAUGAAGGUCUUCGGAUCGUAAAACUCUGUUAUUAGGGAAGAACAUAUGUGUAAGUAACUGUGCACAUCUUGACGGUACCUAAUCAGAAAGCCACGGCUAACUACGUGCCAGCAGCCGCGGUAAUACGUAGGUGGCAAGCGUUAUCCGGAAUUAUUGGGCGUAAAGCGCGCGUAGGCGGUUUUUUAAGUCUGAUGUGAAAGCCCACGGCUCAACCGUGGAGGGUCAUUGGAAACUGGAAAACUUGAGUGCAGAAGAGGAAAGUGGAAUUCCAUGUGUAGCGGUGAAAUGCGCAGAGAUAUGGAGGAACACCAGUGGCGAAGGCGACUUUCUGGUCUGUAACUGACGCUGAUGUGCGAAAGCGUGGGGAUCAAACAGGAUUAGAUACCCUGGUAGUCCACGCCGUAAACGAUGAGUGCUAAGUGUUAGGGGGUUUCCGCCCCUUAGUGCUGCAGCUAACGCAUUAAGCACUCCGCCUGGGGAGUACGACCGCAAGGUUGAAACUCAAAGGAAUUGACGGGGACCCGCACAAGCGGUGGAGCAUGUGGUUUAAUUCGAAGCAACGCGAAGAACCUUACCAAAUCUUGACAUCCUUUGACAACUCUAGAGAUAGAGCUUUCCCCUUCGGGGGACAAAGUGACAGGUGGUGCAUGGUUGUCGUCAGCUCGUGUCGUGAGAUGUUGGGUUAAGUCCCGAAACGAGCGCAACCCUUAAGCUUAGUUGCCAUCAUUAAGUUGGGCACUCUAAGUUGACUGCCGGUGACAAACCGGAGGAAGGUGGGGAUGACGUCAAAUCAUCAUGCCCCUUAUGAUUUGGGCUACACACGUGCUACAAUGGACAAUACAAAGGGCAGCGAAACCGCGAGGUCAAGCAAAUCCCAUAAAGUUGUUCUCAGUUCGGAUUGUAGUCUGCAACUCGACUACAUGAAGCUGGAAUCGCUAGUAAUCGUAGAUCAGCAUGCUACGGUGAAUACGUUCCCGGGUCUUGUACACACCGCCCGUCACACCACGAGAGUUUGUAACACCCGAAGCCGGUGGAGUAACCUUUUAGGAGCUAGCCGUCGAAGGUGGGACAAAUGAUUGGGGUGAAGUCGUAACAAGGUAGCCGUAUCGGAAGGUGCGGCUGGAUCACCUCCUUUCUAA
rnacentral:rRNA from 1 species